AGCCUCGUUCUAGAUGAAAAUGGGCACUGUCGCUCAUGGUGUCCAGAAAAAGUGAAUGUGGCUACACUGAGACGGGAGGCGGUUCCAUCACAGCAAGAUGACCGCAGGGGUGACCACGAGGCCCUAACAUCC
rnacentral:snoRNA from 1 species